UCGAUCCCCAGGACCCCGAGAUCAUGACCUGAGCCAAAGGCAGAUGCUUGAUCGACUGAACCACCCAGAUGCCCCAAAUUGACAUUUCUUUAAUGUGGUAAAGGAAAAUGUGGUAAAAUGAAAAUCCACCAACUGGCUCUUGGGGAGGGAGACCACAUAUUUGAUGGCGGUAAAGGAAAGGAGUGUGGCUCAGGGUAACGUGGGGGUUCAUUUCUUUGUCAGGUUGGCUGAUUCUGAGCUGUUUCUGUAUUAAUCUUGAUUGAUACAGAAUGACUGAUGGAUGCGUCCAAUGUAUUUUUUUUUUAAGAUUUUCUUUAGUUAAUCAUGAGAGAGACACACAGAGAGAGGCAGAGACACAGGCAGAGGGAGAAGCAGGCUCCACACAGGGAGCCCGACGUGGGACUCGAUCCUGGGUCUCCAGGAUCACGCUCUGGGCGGAAGGCAGGUGCCAAACUGCUGAGCUGCCCCGUUCAAUGUAUUUUUGAGGCCAGAAGGACAGCGGAGCCCUCUGCAUGCUGCUGGGAUCUCAGGGGUGCAGGGUGGAGCUGCCGGAGCCGCUGUGCGGGUGUCGGGGAGGAGGAGCCCACGCGGGACGCAGGCCCCUGGCAGGGGUGGCCUGGCCUGAGACUGCCGUGAAGCGGGGAGGAGGUGCUGGGGAGCAUCCCACGACCCCACGGGCUGUGCGCGACGCCGCUCAUAGAAAUCCAGCAGAAUACAUAGUGGCCCACCACAGUCAGCCUGACUCCUGCAGGGAGGCUGUUGGGAGGAGCGGACUGGGGCUGCCAGAUGGUCAGUCAAGGCUGGGGGAGCGCCUGAGUCCGGGCGGGCGGGCUGUGUCCCCCUCGCGUUGCCGGCUGCACCUGUGGACAGAUUGCAGAGACGGGCAAGGUGGUUUAGGGGCGGUUUUCAUUUUAUUUCCCCCGCUCCUUUGUGAGUGGGGCCACGCGCUACGUGGGCGUUUAUUGGCAAGUGCAAUAAAAGACACGUUUUUGAGGGCAGAGUCCAUUUCUUUGAGUAAUAAUUAACCACCAUCGACAGUGUCUUGGGUGCCGUAGAGUAAAUACUCAAGAAACGCUCAGUGUCUCUCCGGUGAGCGUUCUCAGGCCAGUGCGAAGGCCACACGCGGUGGGCCCUGAAGGCUGGUGUUUUGCCCCCAUGUGGGGCAGAAACCAAGGACAGAGAGCCUGCUGGGGAACACAAGCAGGCGGAGCACGGGAGGGAGAAGCAGGCUCCCCGCUGAGCAGAGAGCCCAUGUGGGGACCCUGGGAUCACGACCUGAGUCAAAGGCAGACGCUGACCCGACUGAGCCACCCAGGCGCCCCCAGUUUGGAACUCUCGAUACCUACUGCUCUGUGGUUUUACAGGAGUGUUAAUGCCGGUUUACGUUCGGUAUCCAUUUAAGGGGGCGGCGGGUAGGGAGAUAACUGGGCUCCGUGCACGGCUGAGCGACACAAAGGCCUUGAAGGGUUUUUGUAAAACCUUAUGGAACAUAAACCUAUUGCCAGAAAUCCUAGUGCUCAUCAGCUGGUCCUGGAGAUGAAACAGAACUGCUGCCUGGCUUCUUAAAGGAUGAGAAUGUGAACCACCAACCUGCCCCCGCCCCCCGCAACUCCCCCAAACAGGAGGAUGUUUCUUGGUGAUUAUUUAUACGUUUACUGAGCAAACAUCUGUUGAUAAUGGUGCUGGGCUUGCUCGUGCCUGCACACACAUGACCUUGUUUCUUCUCGCAAUUCUAGGAUGGGUUUGAGUUCUAUUCUGGGGAUUUUUAAGAAGUAGCUUUGCAUUUGUUUGAGAAGGUGUGGAUGUUUAUCUAACGGGGAGCGGUGUUGACUUGUGCCAUCGGAUUGCAGGGCAAAGCAUUAAAAGCAAGCUUGGCUCUUUCUCUA